rnacentral:lncRNA from 1 species
CAAUUAGCAUGAAUACAUAUCAAGACAGAACAUUAAACCCGCUAGCAGUUCGUUAAAUCGGAGCCGUGUUGUUGUUGUUCUUCCGCAGCACACCGCGGCGUGGAGAAAUGAAGGCGCAGUCAUCCACUAUCACAUCCAGCGCCUCUCCCUCCUGAGAGACUCGCACCUCUGAGUCUCAGUACCUGUUGAACACCUGCCCCGGGACGCAUGGUCACGACACCCAUAACGGCCAAUAGCUCUGGAUCAUUUGUAUGAUACUCCAGCCAAAAAGGAUGGAACAACCUUGCCAGCAAAAUGUGAAACUGGAGGUACAGCCACUUUAGGUCAUGUUUCCUCAGAUGUGAGGCCCAGUGAGAACCAAAGAGAGAAACAACACAUUUCAAAACCCAGCAGUACAACAUCAGUGAGACACAGAUCCAAGACUCACACUCAGUUGAUAAAAGAGAAGUUGCACCAGAUCAAAGCUGAGAUUCAGAAGAUCUCUAAAGUCCACCUGCAUCAGUGCCCUGAGAGGUAAGUGACCGUUAAAUCUAUUCUCCAGACCUAGUUUAGAAUUAGAGUACCAGAGGC